GACGAACGCUGGCGGCGUGCCUAAUACAUGCAAGUCGAACGCAGUGGGGACGGGUGAGUAACACGUGGGUAACCUCCCAUCAGAGGGGAUAACACUUGGAAACAGGUGCUAAACCGAUACUGAUGGAUGGACCCGCGGUGCAUUAGCUAGUUGGUGAGGUAACGGCUCACCAAGGCCACGAUGCAUAGCCGGCAUUAGAGGGGGGUCGGCCAAAGUGGGACUGAGAACAGGCCCAAAAUCCGAAGGGAGGCAGAAGUGGGGAAUAUUCGGCAAUGGGCGAAAGUCUGACCGAGCCAAGCCGCGUGAGUGAAGAAGGUUUUCGGGUCGUAAAAUUCUUUUGGUAGGGAAGAGGUAUCCAAACAAAAAGCCCCGGCGAACUACGUGCCAGCAGGCGCGGUAAUUC
rnacentral:rRNA from 1 species